GGAGGUGUAGCUAAAAUGGCAAAGUGCACUUAGUCCAACCAAAAGGGUGACGUCAAUUAAAUAAUUCCCUUUUGCUUUAAGUUGGUGUGGGUUCGAGUCCCACGACCUCCA
rnacentral:tRNA from 1 species